UGGGGUAUGGCCAAGCGGCAAGGCACAGGACUUUGACUCCUGUAUUCGGUGGUUCAAAUCCACCUACCCCAGCCA
rnacentral:tRNA from 1 species